rnacentral:rRNA from 1 species
UUUAUUGGAGAGUUUGAUCCUGGCUCAGGAUGAACGCUGGCGGCGUGCCUAAUACAUGCAAGUCGAGCGAAUGGAUUAAGAGCUUGCUCUUAUGAAGUUAGCGGCGGACGGGUGAGUAACACGUGGGUAACCUGCCCAUAAGACUGGGAUAACUCCGGGAAACCGGGGCUAAUACCGGAUAACAUUUUGAACCGCAUGGUUCGAAAUUGAAAGGCGGCUUCGGCUGUCACUUAUGGAUGGACCCGCGUCGCAUUAGCUAGUUGGUGAGGUAACGGCUCACC